rnacentral:rRNA from 1 species
GAGUUUGAUCCUGGCUCAGAGCGAACGCUGGCGGCAGGCUUAACACAUGCAAGUCGAACGGGCACUUCGGUGCUAGUGGCAGACGGGUGAGUAACACGUGGGAACGUACCUUUCGGUUCGGAAUAAUCCAGGGAAACUUGGACUAAUACCGGAUACGCCCUUCGGGGGAAAGAUUUAUCGCCGAUAGAUCGGCCCGCGUCUGAUUAGCUAGUUGGUGAGGUAAAGGCUCACCAAGGCGACGAUCAGUAGCUGGUCUGAGAGGAUGAUCAGCCACAUUGGGACUGAGACACGGCCCAAACUCCUACGGGAGGCAGCAGUGGGGAAUAUUGGACAAUGGGCGCAAGCCUGAUCCAGCCAUGCCGCGUGAGUGAUGAAGGCCUUAGGGUUGUAAAGCUCUUUUGUCCGGGAAGAUAAUGACUGUACCGGAAGAAUAAGCCCCGGCUAA